GGUUGGCUGUCUUGCUUGCAUGCAUGUCUGUGUAUCAUAUGUAUGCAGUAUCCACGGAGACCAGAAGAGGCGUCGGAUAACCUGACACUGAUGUUACAGUUUGUGAACUGUCAGGCAUGCAUCCUACCUCCGAGCUACAUCCUGAGGCCCCGUAUUUGCAUGAGAUCUCAAGAACUCUAAAACUGGACACCGCUGGCAAGUGCCACAAGGACUACAGGAUCCCCCCACCCUCCUCUGCCAAAAAAAUUUUUUUUUCCUGGCAGAGAGCAGAAGAAAAACUCAUUUUCCUUAGCCAUCAGAGAGGUAAGAUGCUAACUUCCUUUAUUCACAAGGGGGAUAGAAUUGACUGACAGACUAGUGAGAGCUGUUACUCAUUUAACCUACCAAAAGAUAUUAUAUGGCUUUAAGCUGUGUUCAGAAGGGCUGAAAAGGUAAUAAACUAUGUGUGUAGGCUCAGUUCUCUAGGGGGGUAGCGGCUGCAAACUCGACACUCAAAUCGUUUCUUCUUUCCUUUCUUAGGCCCUGGGUGUACACCAUGCUUAAUAUAGGUAAUAAAAAGGCAAGAUUAUGAAGAAGAAAGAGGCCCAUCAAGGAACGGAGGCUCUUUAUUUGUUCCGCUGGCAUGGUGCUCUUGUGGUUUCUCCAGCAUUUCAACAUAGAUGCUCAUAGCGGGGACACAUCAACAGUGCUUACUUCUGAGUGUGAGAACAGAGAUAAAAAGCGCACUCUUGCAGUGAUUAAUGUUGACUGCAGUGAUUCCAGCAGACCUCGAAAAUAAAUUGACAUUUGAGUUGGCCCUCGAUACUGGAUUUUGACAGGCAAAGGCCGGAGGAAAGAGCAACUCAGACAGCUGCCAACAGAAGAAUCAGGAGAUUUCAUAUCCAUACCAGACUUCUGGCUGCUUUCAAAAGAAGUAGAACUAUACUGAGCCCUCAUUUCCCGAAGGCAGCAACCGGCUGUACUGAGCAAUGGCUUCUCUUUGGAGACCAUCCGUGACAGUCCUGUCUCACUGGCUUCAGUCACUCACAGGCAGCAGCUGCUUCAGCAGGUGGCCUCUUGAGGUAGCAUCGAAGGGACAGGAGAAUUGGAAAAAAGAGGGAAGACUUGGAGGGGCUCUGCCACCUACCUCUUGUCAGUCACACAAGUGCCUGCAAGGUUCGUUCUGCUGUGAGAGUGCCGCCGGACAGGUAGUGUUGGGAUUUUGGUGAGAGUGCUCCAGAGUUGUCUACCAAAGAGCUUCUAAGCACUCAACGAGCUAUCUACUCAAGAGCUGCGUUUCUUCGGUGGGAAAUGAGAAGUGUCGAAAAGAAUGUCUUUGAAGAACUCACCACAGAUGGGGCAUCUUACCACAGAUGGGCAUGUUAGUGCAAAUAGGUAAGGUGGAGGCAGGAGGAUCUGGAGUUUGAGGUCAACCUGAGACUCUUAGAAAGACCCUGUCAACACACACACACACACACACACACACACACACACACACACACACACAGAGGCAUGCAUGAAAGCACUCACUCGCAUGGAUGCAAGCACACACGCCCUCCACCCCCAAACCUACUUAAAGCACUCCUUCUUCCUAACAACAGAUUUCCUGGGGAGCAGGCUGAGCUUACUUCAGCUUCUAAGCACAAACCCCUUAGAGGUCACUGAGGUCAUUGUUACCCUGACCUGAUCUACAUGAUGUCAGUGGUUCUCAAGCUUCCUAACACUUCACCCCUGUAAUACAGCUCCUCGUGUUCUGGCGACCUCCAACCAUACAAUUAUUUUCAUUGUUACUUCAUAACUGUAGUUCUGCUCCUGUUGUGAAUCAUAAGGUAAAUAUCUGAUUUGUAACUCCCGUGAAAGGGAAGUUUGACACUCCUCCCCCCCUAAGGCAUGGCCACCCAUAGGUUGAAAACUACUGCUUUCUGGGUUUCAAAAAAUUUUUUAUCUAUCGGAGACUCUGGUUUCAGGCUGAAUUUUUUUGCCUGAAGGUGGGUUGUAGAUAAAAUGGUAAAUUAAGCUGUGUGCACCACCUCACUGUUCAGGAAGCACCAGCAACUUGAACUUUCUUCCAGGUGCUGUCUCAUUCCCCUCUACACUUGUGUUUGCCAUGGUGGGGUUCACAUCCUAGUUUAGGAAAAUGCCAAUUUCAGAUCAUUCCUGUGGCUAAGUGUCCCAUCCCUGGGCAGUUCCACUAGCCCUGCCUAGAGCUCCCCUGCUUAGGAGCGGAGAGCUGGCACCUUGCCCACUCUCCAGUGAUAAGCCUGCACUGUUCCGCAUGCUUGUUUUGCAUUUGUCAUUAUCUUUUGUAUGCAAGGAGGCUUAAUGUGCAAUAAAUGUAAAUGGGCAAUGUA